UGUCUCCUUCAAGCAAACAGUACGUGGUGUAUCGGCAAGAUGAUCUAGUACAGAGUCCUACAUAGGAAUUCUACAGAGCUACCAGUUGCAAGGGAGCGCAGGGAGUGGGGAGAGAGGACUCUAUCCUUCAGGCAGAUGUUGGUGUAUCUUUUAUUGCCAUCAAACAGAUCAUCUUCCAUUAUUUCACAAGAGUUUGCAGAUGCAGCUUUCUUGCACCCACUUGAUGGCUCCUCGGAUUCCUCCCUUCACUCCCUCCGACCUUUACUACCCUGUGGGCCAGCACGUGUCAUCGCACUAGUGUUGCCAGAGUUUGUUUUGUUCUGCUCCAGUUC